AACGCUUCUCAGCCUUUUGGCCAAGAUCAAGUGUAGUAUCUGUUCUUAUCAGUUUAAAGUGCAACCUUUUAACACAUUGAAACAUACUAGGAAGCCCCAGAAAUUAAACACUGUGGUAAUUUACUGGAU
rnacentral:snRNA from 1 species